rnacentral:rRNA from 1 species
CCUACGGGAGGCAGCAGUAGGGAAUCUUCCACAAUGGGCGAAAGCCUGAUGGAGCAACGCCGCGUGGGUGAAGAAGGUCUUCGGAUCGUAAAACUCUGUCGUUAGAGAAGAAAGUGCGUGAGAGUAACUGUUCAUGUUUCGACGGUAUCUUACCAGAAAGCACCGGCUAACUACGUGCCAGCAGCCGCGGUAAUACGUAGGUGGCAAGCGUUAUCCGGAAUUAUUGGGCGUAAAGGGAACGCAGGCGGUCUAUUAAGUCUGAUGUGAAGUCCUUGGGCUUAACCGGAGUAGUGCAUUGGAAACUGGGAGACUGGAGUGCAGAAGAGGAGAGUGGAACUCCAGGUGUAGCGGUGAAAUGCGUAGAUAUAUGGAAGAACACCAGUGGCGAAGGCGGCUCUCUGGUCUGUAACUGACGCUGAGGUUCGAAAGCGUGGGUAGCAAACAGGAUUAGAUACCCCAGUAGUC